GCUGGGCAUGGUGGUGCAUGCCUGUAGUCCCAGCUACUUGGGAGGCUGAGGAAGGAGGAUCACUUGAGCCCAGGAGUUCAAGGGCGCAGUGAGCUGUCAUUGUGCCACAGUACUUCAGCCUGGGUGACACAGUGAGAUGCUGUCUCUA
rfam:Chlorocebus sabaeus isolate 1994-021 chromosome 20, whole genome shotgun sequence.